rnacentral:rRNA from 1 species
CCUACGGGAGGCAGCAGUGGGGAAUAUUGGGCAAUGGAGGCAACUCUGAUCCAGCAACGCCGCGUGAAUGAUGAAGGUCUUCGGAUUGGAAAGUUCUGGGAUGGGGGAUGAACACAAUGACGGUACCCCAAUAGCAAGCCACGGCUAACUACGUGCCAGCAGCCGCGGUAAUACGUAGGUGGCAAGCGUUAUCCGGAAUGACUGGGCGUAAGGGGUGCGUAGGGGGUUUAGUAAGUUGGCGGUGUAAUUCCGGGGCUCAACCUCGGCGCUACCGCCAAAACUAUUAGACUAGAGUGCAGGAGGGGUAAGUGGAAUUCCUAGUGUAGCAGUGGAAUGCGUAGAUAUUAGGAGGAACAUCAGGGGCGAAGGCGACUUCCUGGACUGUAACUGACACUGAGGCACGAAGGCGAGGGGAGCAAACAGGAUUAGAUACCCCUGUAGUC